AUGGUGCCAAAGAUUGGAACAAGUUUUGACACGCUCAGAGAAGCUUAUGACUUUUACAAUUUGUACUCCUGGGAGAAAGGAUUUGGAAUACGAUAUGGAAAGAGCAGGCUAAACGUUAGCAGGACUAAGUGUAUGCAAGAGAUAGUCCGUGGAUGUGUGGGGAAGCCAAUUGUUGAAAAUACUCGUUCCUGCCGGUGUGAAUGCCCAGCCCUCAUCAGACUACUGCGGACAAAGGACAAUGGAUGGUACAUAGCAGAGCAUCGAGAUGGGCACAACAAUGCACUUUCCCAAACGUAUGGACAGACAAUACACUGGCCUACAACAGUGAGCGCGGAAGCACGGAUCUGCGCGAUGGACACAUCAGCGGUGGUGAAUGAGGGACAGCUCGUGUCAGGCCUCGGAGCUCUGAACUGGAAAGAUGAAUCCACAUGCUUCUAUCUGGAAUUAGAGGAUAAAGCUGGUGUUGAGAACACGAGGUCUUGUCGUUGCGAAUGCCCGGCUCUAAUAAGACUGCUACGGGCAGAGGACGAUGGGUAG
rnacentral:rRNA from 1 species